rnacentral:piRNA from 1 species
UGGAAGCAAAUUGUAGGUGUG